GUGCCAGCAGCCGCGGUAAUACGGAGGGUGCAAGCGUUGUCCGGAAUCACUGGGCGUAAAGGGUGCGCAGGCGGGGCAGCAAGUCGGAUGUGAAACCCCAUGGCUUAACCAUGGAGGUGCAUUCGAAACUGUCAGGCUUGAGUCCGAGAGGGGCCAGUGGAAUUCCUGGUGUAGGGGUGAAAUCCGUAGAGAUCAGGAGGAACACCGGCGGCGAAAGCGACUGGCUGGAUCGGGACUGACGCUGAGGCACGAAAGCGUGGGCAGCGAACAGGAUUAGAAACCCGAGUAGUCC
rnacentral:rRNA from 1 species